UACGGAAGGAGCUAGCGUUGUUCGGAAUUACUGGGCGUAAAGCGCGCGUAGGCGGUUUUCCAAGUCAGUGGUGAAAGCCCGGGGCUCAACCCCAGAAUAGCCUUUGAAACUGGAAAACUAGAAUCUUGGAGAGGCCAGUGGAAUUCCGAGUGUAGAGGUGAAAUUCGUAGAUAUUCGGAAGAACACCAGUGGCGAAGGCGACUGACUGGAUAAGUAUUGACGCUGAGGUGCGAAAGCGUGGGGAGCAAACAGG
rnacentral:rRNA from 1 species